rnacentral:ncRNA from 1 species
AAGUCAACGAAGAUAAGGAAUAUUAGACGCUUAUAUUUUACAGAGACCAGGUGGAUAGUGUGAACUUGGAGAUUGAUGCGUUCGAACUCGCCUUUGAGUUUCCUGCUGAAUUAUAGUAAGGGGAACGUUUUUCCGCGUUAAGGAAUCAAGAGUGUGGCUGUAAGCUACAAACCUAGGUGGUACCGCGGAACAGAUUUCGUCCUAAGA